rnacentral:rRNA from 1 species
GACAGAGGGUGCAAACGUUGUUCGGAAUCACUGGGCGUAAAGCGCGUGUAGGCUGCUGCGCAAGUCGGAUGUGAAAUCCCACGGCUCAACCAUGGAAGUGCAUUCGAAACUGCGUAGCUAGAGUUUUGGAGAGGAAGGCGGAAUACUCGGUGUAGAGGUGAAAUUCGUAGAUAUCGAGUGGAACACCGGUGGCGAAGGCGGCCUUCUGGACAAUGACUGACGCUGAAACGCGAAAGCGUGGGUAGCAAACAGG